rnacentral:rRNA from 1 species
UGGGGAAUUUUCCGCAAUGGGCGAAAGCCUGACGGAGCAAUACCGCGUGAGGGAGGAAUGCCUUUGGGUUGUAAACCUCUUUUCUCAGGGAAGAAGAUCUGACGGUACCUGAGGAAUAAGUAUCGGCUAACUCCGUGCCAGCAGCCGCGGUAAUACGGAGGAUGCAAGCGUUAUCCGGAAUCAUUGGGCGUAAAGCGUCCGCAGGUGGUUUCCAAAGUCUGCUGUUAAAGACUGGAGCUCAACUCCGGAACGGCGGUGGAAACUUGGAAACUAGAGUUCGGUAGGGGUAGCAGGAAUUCUCAGUGUAGCGGUGAAAUGCGUAGAUAUUGGGAAGAACAUCGGUGGCGAAGGCGUGCUACUGGACCGUAACUGACACUCAGGGACGAAAGCUAGGGGAGCGAAAGGGAUUAGAUACCCCUGUAGUCCUAGCUGUAAACGAUGGAAACUAGGUGUGGCUUGA